CCCUUAGAUGAUUUGGGCUGCACGCGCGCUACACUGACCCUAACAAUGAGCAACUGUCUGGCCUGAGAUGGCUGGGUAGCCUUUUCAACCCAUGUCAUGAUUGGGCCAGAUUUUUGUAAGUCUUGAUCUCUAACGAGGAGUCCCUAGUAUGCGUGAAUCAUCAAUCCAUGCAGAUUAUGUCCCUGCCCUUUGUACACACCGCCCGCCGCUCCUACUGAUUGGGUGAUCCGGUGAGCUGUUCGGCCAUAGCAAUGUUUCUUGAGCAGGGCAAUGAAUGUUUCGCAAACCUUGCCACUUAGAGGAAGGAGAAGUCGUAACA
rnacentral:rRNA from 1 species